AACAAUGUGAGUCAAGAUUCAGUCGCCAAUUACACUGGAAAGUAUAUUAUCUUGACCUCCAGGGUAACUGGAAGUUUAAUGAGGCAUUACUAGUUCCAAGGUACCGAUCGAGCUAGCUGAGGCAGUGGGGGUGCAAUUGAAAGAGCCUGUCAUGGGGGUUGUGUACUGUUUCCCUUCUCCGCUUAUGAAGCGUUUGGAGAGCUUGUCGUUGGUCCCGAACAAGUAGUGCUUGGACAUGUCGGUG